GGCAGUGUGGCUAAGGUUAGGAGAGUGCUUGCCUAGCAAGUGUGAAAACCUGGGUUCAAACCCUAGCACUGCAG
rnacentral:tRNA from 1 species